UAAAAUUUUUAAAAAAGAAAGAAAAGCCUUAUGAUAAAAUAAGCCAUAGCUAUUUAAACAAAGAAUGUUUUUUAAUAAAAGUCGCUAUAAAACUGAUUUUUACAUGGAAACAACUGUGGAAAUGUGGACAAAUCACAGUCAUUUGCUCUAACUCAGUCAAGAUCAGUGGUUCAGACACGUGUUCAACUUUAACCGGAAUGAGAGUCUUAUCUGCUGGUGUGCCUUAUCUGGACACGAUUUUUAGACUUUAAACCAGGUAUCAGUCAAUGCCAUGCCUGCCUUAGAAGAAAGUUGUGGCAGAGAAGUAUAUUUUGGUCUUUGUCCCCAGUUUCUGGCAUAGAGCUCCUAAAACCCUUGGAAUUUCCUGAGCGAUACGAGUGGCCUUCUGCUAUUCACAGCUACACAUCAAUCUGAGGCUGGAUUUUCUUCAUAUACCUCAACCAAAACAAUAUACAGCAGCAGACUAAAUGCUGAAGUGGAUGUGAGAAUCCAGCUACUUCUGAACUGCUGCUGCCAUCUUGGUUCCAGCCUGAGCAGGAAGCAAGCACUAAAAAGGCCAGAGCAGAGAGAUGGAAAAAACCCUGCAUCCAAGGUCAACAACCCAAAUGGAAAGUGAGAAAAGUAGGUGAAGACAAAGUUCACAGAAAAGGAAAAACAAGUAAGUAGCCCUUAAGCACAGGAAAAAAUGCUCAACUUAACUCAUAGUAAGAGCAAUUAAAAUUGAAAUAAGACUGUUAUACCACUUUUCACCUAUCAGAUUGGCAAAAAUCCAAAUGUUUGACAAUACAUUCUGUUGGUAGGGCUGUGAGGAAGCAGGGACUCUCAUGCAUGAAGGGCAAAAUGGCACAAUCUCCUGUGUCAGGGAAGGAGUGAACAAAGGAACACAUGAACUGGGGUCUUUAUGUCCUCACUGAGAUGCUGUAUCAGCUUACCUGGAAACCACCCUCUCGUGGGACUUCCUAUUAAAUGACACAAUAAAUGUCCUCACUGAUUAAACCAGCUUGAGUACGGUUUCUGUUACCUAGAGCCAAAACUAUCCCAAAUGAUGCCCUGCCCCCCACCCUGAGCCCAGGAGCAAAGUUGUUCUGUCCAGAAGCCAGAUCACAGAGUCUAAUUGGGUCAUUCAGGGACUGGCCAAAUCCAAACAGGUACAGGUCCAAAUGCUGAGGUCAUCAAUGACAGCAAAAUCCCCCCCAGAGAAAGGGCCACAAGCUGUUCCAAAAGCGGUGGGUGGGCAACUGCCUAGGGUAAUAUACAAUCCUUACGGUCUUGAGAGGGGGCUGCAGCCUGAGUGCUUAAAAGGCCUGGUGGAGGGGCUUCCCUGGUGGCGCAGUG